rnacentral:snoRNA from 1 species
GCUGGUGUAGGUGAUGACUGAACUUUUUUCCCCAUCAGAGCGACAGUGUUGAGUUGUCUCUGCUCUAGC